GAAACCGCGAACGGCUCAUUAAAUCAGCUAUAAUCUGCUUGAUUUUGAUGUAUCUUACAUGGAUAACUGUGGUAAUUCUAGAGAUAAUACAUGCAUUAAAGCUCUGACUUCGGAAAGAGUGCAUUUAUUAGAGUAAAACCAAGCGAUAGUGGAAUUGCAAAAUUUCAUUAUCGUUUAUUUUGCGGACUCACAAUAACUUAAUUUAACAGCUGAUCGCACGGUAUUAAAACCGGCGACAUUUCUUAUGAAUAUCUAAUUUAUCAAUUUUCGAUGGUAGUGUAUUGGCCUACCAUGGUUUUGACGGAUAACGGAGAAUAAGGGUUUGACUCCGGAGAAGGGGCCUGAGAAAUAGCCACUACGUCUAAGGAUGGCAGCAGGCGCGCAAAUUACCCACUCUCAGAAUGAGGAGGUAGUGACGAAAAAUAACGAGACCGUUCUCUAUGAGGCCGGUCAUCGGAAUGGGUAUAAUUUAAACCCUUUAACGAGUAUCUAUGAGAGGGCAAGUCUGGUGCCAGCAGCCGCGGUAAUUCCAGCUCUCAAAAUGCAUAGAACCAUUGCUGCGGUUAAAAAGCUCGUAGUUGAAUUUUUACCGAAGGCUUGGUCCACUCAUCAAAAAAAAUUUGUUUUUAUAACAAAUUUUGAGUCGGUUACUGAGUUCUCAAUUAUAUUUUCUUUAAUAUAUUCUUCGGUAUUAAAAUAACGUUGGUUUUUCCUUUACAUCACCUUUAAUGUGUGUGGUGUGGGAUGGCUGACAUCUUUACUUUGAACAAAUCAGAGUGCUCAAAACAAGUAAAUUAUGUUAAAUAGCUUGUAUGCUUAUGCAUGGAAUAAUAAAAUAUGACUUCGGUCUAGUUUUCAUUGGUUUUAUUGAUCGUUGUAAUGAUUAAAAGAGAUAAACGGGGGCAUUCGUAUUGCUGCGUGAGAGGUGAAAUUCUUGGACCGCAGCAAGACGGCCUAAAGCGAAAGCAUUUGCCAAGCUUAUUUUCAUUAAUCAAGAACGAAAGUCAGAGGAUCGAAGGUGAUCAGAUACCGCCCUAGUUCUGACCGUAAACUAUGCCAACUAGCGAUUCGCCAGUGGAAUUUUUUUUAAAGCCCUGGCGAGGAGCUUCCCGGAAACGAAAGUCUUCCGGUUCCGGGGGAAGUAUGGUUGCAAAGCUGAAACUUAAAGGAAUUGACGGAAGGGCACCACCAGGAGUGGAGCCUGCGGCUUAAUUUGACUCAACACGGGAAAACUCACCCGGCCCGUACACUAUAAGGAUUGACAGAUUGAUAGCUUUUUCAUGAUUUGGUGGUUGGUGGUGCAUGGUCGUUCUUAGUUCGUGGCUUUUGCCGUCUGGUUAAUUCCGAUAACGAGCGAGACUCUAGCCUAUUAAAUAGUGCGCUCAUUGUUUUUGUCAUGUCCAAUGUUUGGCUUGACUUUAUAUAAAAUCUCUUUUAUGUUCACAUAAUUGAAUUUUUUAUAUAUUUAUUGUCAAAUAUUUGACGGCAAAUAUUGUGAAAAAAUAUUUUAAAAAUUUGUAACAAAAUUUUUAAAAUUGCGAUACACUUCCUAGAGGAAUUUACGGUUUUGAACCGCAUGAAAUUGAGCAAUAACAGGUCUGUGAUGCCCUUAGAUGUUCGGGGCUGCACGCGCGCUACACUGGUAAAGUCAGCGUGCUUUAUAUAAAAUCCUAUUUUGAAAAAUAUUUGGGUAAACCAAUGAAAGUUUACCGUGAUUGGGAUCGGAGAUUGCAAUUAUUCUCUGUGAACGAGGAAUUCCAAGUAAGUGUGAGUCAUCAACUCGCGCUGAUUACGUCCCUGCCCUUUG
rnacentral:rRNA from 1 species